ensembl:lncRNA
GUGGCCUGUGUGGGCAGAGUCUGAGGAAGACGGAACCAGGAACCUGGGGUGGGCUGGCGGCUGUCGAGAGACAUAAAAUGAAGCUGACUUCUAGCGCUACAAUAUUUCACUGUGAUCUGAGCCUCCCAAAGAUGAAACCUGGAAAAUACAAAUUUAAAAGGCACCUCAUAUAAACUGUACUGUUAUUUUAAUCAGCACUUCUAUUCACUUUCUUUUUCUUUUUUUAUUUACCAGCUUUCCUUCUGAUUGUAUCAUAAUAACUGUCUAGACACUGUUCCCAACUGUGAUGGAUUUUAAGAGACUGUACAAAUGAGGCCAGAAAAAAAUAAAUUAGCAGUACUGUGCACUAAAGUGCCUCCGUUUAAAGCACUAUGAAUAGAAAAAGCACUGACCACUUACAUAUCAGCUAAGAUAGCCUACUAUCUAUUUAUUUUCUUCAAGGUUGUGAUUAGAAAGUUCUUAUCCAACUUGCUGUCCAAAGGUAUAAUAAAUAAUGACUUACAACAGU